GACGAACGCUGGCGGCGUGCCUAAUACAUGCAAGUAGAACGCACAGUUUAUACCGUAGCUUGCUACACCAUAGACUGUGAGUUGCGAACGGGUGAGUAACGCGUAGGUAACCUGCCUGGUAGCGGGGGAUAACUAUUGGAAACGAUAGCUAAUACCGCAUAAUAUUAAUUAUUGCAUGAUAAUUAAUUGAAAGGUGCAAUUGCACCACUACCAGAUGGACCUGCGUUGUAUUAGCUAGUAGGUGAGGUAACGGCUCACCUAGGCGACGAUACAUAGCCGACCUGAGAGGGUGAUCGGCCACACCGGGACUGAGACACGGCCCAGACUCCUACGGGAGGCAGCAGUAGGGAACCUUCGGCAAUGGACGAAAGUCUGACCGAGCAACGCCGCGUGAGUGAAGAAGGUUUUCGGAUCGUAAAGCUCUGUUGUAAGAGAAGAACGGGUGUGAGAGUGGAAAGUUCACACUGUGACGGUAUCUUACCAGAAAGGGGCGGCUAACUACGUG
rnacentral:rRNA from 1 species